rfam:Oryza sativa Japonica Group DNA, chromosome 3, cultivar: Nipponbare, complete sequence.
UUUAAGCGCAGCCAUGAGUUUUCGUGUCUAACUUUGAUCGUCCAUUUUAUUUAAAAUUUUUUUAUGAUUAAUAUUUUUUUAUUAUUAAAAGAUAAAACAUGAAUAAUCCUUUUUUUAUUGUACAUGAAUAAUCCUUUAGUGGUGACUUAUGUUUUUAAUUUUUUUAAAAAAAACCAGAUAAGAUAAACGUUUAAAGUUAGAAAAAAAAAUAUUGUUGCGCGACGG